rnacentral:rRNA from 1 species
GACGAACGCUGGCGGCGUGCUUAACACAUGCAAGUCGAACGGAAAGGCCCUGCUUUUGUGGGGUGCUCGAGUGGCGAACGGGUGAGUAACACGGGAGUAACCUGCCCUUGACUUUGGGAUAACUUCAGGAAACUGGGGCUAAUACCGGAUAGGAGCUCCUGCUGCAUGGUGGGGGUUGGAAAGUUUCGGCGGUUGGGGAUGGACUCGCGGCUUAUCAGCUUGUUGGUGGGGUAGUGGCUUACCAAGGCUUUGACGGGUAGCCGGCCUGAGAGGGUGACCGGCCACCUUGGGACUGAGAUACGGCCCAGACUCCUACGGGAGGCAGCAGUGGGGAAUAUUGCACAAUGGGCGGAAGCCUGAUGCAGCAACGCCGCGUGCGGGAUGACGGCCUUCGGGUUGUAAACCGCUUUCGCCUGUGACGAAGCGUGAGUGACGGUAAUGGGUAAAGAAGCACCGGCUAACUACGUG